GCCCGCAUGGCUCAGUGGUAGAGCGUGUCACUAGUAGUAAAUUGAAAAUGACAAGGUCGUCAGUUCGAUUCUGGCUGUGGGCA
rnacentral:tRNA from 1 species